rnacentral:misc_RNA from 1 species
GAUGAAGAACGCAGCGAAAUGCGAUAAGUAAUGUGAAUUGCAGAAUUCAGUGAAUCAUCGAAUCUUUGAACGCACAUUGCGCCCGCCAGUAUUCUGGCGGGCAUGCCUGUUCGAGCGUCAUUUCAACCAUCAAGCCCCAGGCUUGUGUUGGGGACCUGCGGCUGCCGCAGGCCCUGAAAACCAGUGGCGGGCUCGCUGUCACACCGGGCGUAGUAGAUUUUAUCUCGCUCAGGGCGUGCUGCGGGUUCCGGCCGUUAAAAAGCCUUUUUUACCCAAGGUUGACCUCGGAUCAGGUAGGAAGACCCGCUGAACUUAAGCAUAUUAAUAAGCGGAGGA